GGUCUGAUCCUGGCUCAGAUUGAACGCUGGCGGGAUGCUUUACACAUGCAAGUCGAACGGCAGCACGGACUUCGGUCUGGUGGCGAGUGGCGAACGGGUGAGUAAUGUAUCGGAACGCAGCUUCGAUAGCGGGGAUAACUACGCGAAAGCGUAGCUAUUACCGCAUACGCCCUUCGGGGGAAAGUGGGGACCUUCGGGCCUCGCACUAUUAGAGCGGCCGAUAUCGCAUUAGCUUAGUUGCGGGGUAACGGUCACCACACGAUCCGUAGCUGGUUUGAGAGGACGACCAGCCACACUGGGACUGAGACACGGCCCAGACUCCUACGGGAGGCAGCAGUGGGGAAUUUUGGACAAUGGGGGAAACCCCGAUUCAGCCAUCCCGCGUGCGAUGCCGAAGUGGCCUUCGGGUUGUAAAGCACUUUUGGCAGGAAAGAAACGGCACGGAUAAUACUCCCGUGCAACUGACGGUACCUGCAGAAUAAGCACCGGCUAACUACGUGCCAGCAGCCGCGGUAAUACGUAGGGUGCAAGCGUUAAUCGGAAUUACUGGGCGUAAAGCGUGCGCAGGCGGUUCGGAAAGAAAGAUGUGAAAUCCCAGAGCUUAACUUUGAACUGCAUUUUAAACGUAAUGAGCCAGAGUGUGUGUCAGAGGGAGGUGGAAUCUCUGCGUGUAGCAGUGAAAAUGCGUAGAUGUUUAUAAACACCGAUGGCGAAGGCAGCCUUCCUGAUAACACUGACGUAAAGUUCAUGCACGAAAGUGGGAGCAAACAGGAUUAGAUACACUUGGUAGUCCACGCCCUAAACGAUGUCAACUAGCUGUUGGGGCCUUUCGGGCCUGGUAGCGCAGCUAACGCGAAGCGACCGCCUGGGGAGUACGGUCGCAAGAUUAAACUCAAAGGAAUUGACGGGGACCCGCACAAGCGGUGGAUGAUGAUCAAUCUGAUGCAACGCGAAAAACCUUACCCACCCUUGACAUGUCUGGAAUCCCGAAGAGAUCGGGGAUGUCGCAGAAUCCGGAACACAGGUGCUGCAUGGCUGUCGUCAGCUCGUGUCGAUGUUGGGUUAAGUCCUGCAACGAGCGGCAACCCUUGUCAUUAGUUGCUACGAAAGGGCACCGGAUGAGAUUCGGUUGCGACAAACCGAGGAAGGUGGGGAUGAAUGUCAAGUCCUCAUGGCCCUUAUGGGUAGGGCUUCACACGUCACACAAUGGUCGUGGACAGAGGGUCGCCAACCCGCGAGGGGGAGCCAAUCCAGAAACCCGAUCGUGGUCCGGAUCGCAGUCUGCAACUCGACUGCGGAAGUCGGAAUCGCUAGUAAUCGCGGAUCAGCAUGUCAGGUGAAUACGUUCCCGGUCUUGCACACCGCCUGGGUCAUGCACUGCGGAGUGGGUUUACCAGAAGUAGUUAGCCUAACCGUAAGGAGGCGAUUACCACGUAGGACUCAUGACUGGGGUGAAGUCGUAACAAGGUAG
rnacentral:rRNA from 1 species